GGAAGUGUGGCCGAGUGGUUUAAGGCAGAGGUCUUGAAAACCUCCGAAGUCUCGCGACUUCCGUGGGUUCGAAUCCCACCGCUUCCG
rnacentral:tRNA from 1 species